GGCACCUGGACAGUAGAGUAGUGUGUGUGUGUGUGUGUGUGUGUGUGUGUGUGUGUGUGUGUGUGUGUGUGUGUGUGUGUGUGUGUGUGUGUGUGUGUGUGUGUGUGUGUGUGUGUGUGUGGUGUUAUCUACAAGAUGGCAAAACUAUAAUUGGAGCUGGACUGGCUGUUUGUACAGAGAGUCGGAGAGAGAAAGAGAGAGAGACAGAGACAGAGACUGACUGCUGGUCUCUGUAUCGAUGGAUGAAGAACAAUAGUUGUAUCUUUCACUACAAUCCACGUAUGGAUUUUUGGAACAAUCAAGUGAAGUCCACUUUGUCGUUAACCUGUACUGGAAAACAGGUAUUUUUGUGGGCGGCCAAAAAAUACCGCCGCCCACAGAUACUUCUAGUGGCAGAUACUUCGGAACAAAGCAGUGGGGAUCUUCAGUGAUUGAGUUAUUAAUCUUCUCCGUGGAUUGUCACCUGGUCGUGGUGGAGAAGCUUGUGUGGUCCUGAGAUCCCUAGAGCGAUGCCGUCUGGAGCUAUGCUCCUGGUAGGGUCACCCAUGGCAGUAAGGUCGAUGGUGAGGUUCCUGACAAAGAACAAUCCAACCAAGACCUCAACGGUGGAACAGGCGGAUGAAGUUACUUCAAACUCAACGGCUGUGAAGGCGGAUGAAGGCUGCAACAAAUCCAUCAGCUCCAAUCGUCGUGGUUUCCAUGCCAUUGGAAUCAGUUGGUUGAUUUGUGAAGUAUCGUGUGCUUUUUGUAGUGCAACAUCAAGUACACGUUAAACAAAUACACGCACAGGCGUCUUCGCUCUGUGGGCUACUUAGAGCCAAGAUUGGACUCAAGCCACUUGAGAGCCCAUAAAUAGAUCAACGGAACGAAGACCAUCAUCCUCGACCUCGAGGGUUAGCCACGACGGCGACGAGGAGUUAUUAAUAAAAUAGUUUCUAACACUU